rfam:Triticum urartu cultivar G1812 contig986976, whole genome shotgun sequence.
CGCAUACUUUCUCCGUCCAAAAAAUCUUGUCUCAAACUCUUCCCUCAAAUGGAUAUAUCUAGCACUAACUUGGUGCUAGAUACAUUCAUUUGAGAAAUAAGCUUUUUCGGACGGAGGAAGUACUAG